UGUAUGUCGAUUAAGGAUGCAUACUUAAUUUACAUGCAUGAAUUUGAUACUAGAAUAUAAGUGAAUUUCACCUAAUCGUUAUGAACUUAUAUUCACAAGUAGUGAAGGUUGUUAUCCACAAUCGUGUUAAGUGAAUUCUUGGCAUAAGUUUCAUGCAAAUCAUAGUAACGAGUGCCUCGUCAAUGCUUAUGUUUUUCAUAGAA
rnacentral:lncRNA from 1 species